CCUACGGGGUGCUGCAGUCGAGAAUCAUUCACAAUGGGGGAAACCCUGCUGGUGCGACGCCGCGUGGGGGAAUGAAGGUCUUCGGAUUGUAAACCCCUGUCAUGUGGGAGCAAAUUAAAAAGAUAGUACCACAAGAGGAAGAGACGGCUAACUCUGUGCCAGCAGCCGCGGUAAUACAGAGGUCUCAAGCGUUUUUAGGCAUCCCUGGGCGUAAAGCGUGCGUAGGCUGUUUCGUAAGUCGUGUGUGAAAGGCGCGGGCUCAACCCACGGACGGCACAUGAUACUGCGAGAUUAGAGUAAUGGGGGGGGAACCGGAAGUCUCGGGGUAGCAGUGAAAUGCGUAGAUAUCGAGAGGAACACUCGUGGCGAGGGCGGGUUCCUGGACAUUAACUGACGCUGAGGCACGAAGGCCAGGGGAGCGAAAGGGAUUAGAUACCCGAGUAGUC
rnacentral:rRNA from 1 species